rnacentral:rRNA from 1 species
AGGACGAACGCUGGCGGCGUGCUUAACACAUGCAAGUCGAACGGAAAGGCCCUUCGGGGUACUCGAGUGGCGAACGGGUGAGUAACACGUGAGCAAUCUGCCCCUAGCUCUGGGAUAGCUCCGGGAAACCGGGAUUAAUACCAGAUAUUACUACGGCCGACAUCAGCUGUGGUGGAAAGAAUUUCGGCUAGGGAUGAGCUCGCGGCCUAUCAGCUUGUUGGUGGGGUAAAGGCCCACCAAGGCGACGACGGGUAGCCGGCCUGAGAGGGCGACCGGCCACACUGGGGACUGAGACACGGCCCAGACUCCUACGGGAGGCAGCAGUGGGGAAUAUUGCGCAAUGGGCGAAAGCCUGACGCAGCGACGCCGCGUGGGGGAUGAAGGCCUUCGGGUUGUAACCCCUUUCAGCAGGGACGAAGCGAAAGUGACGGUACCUGCAGAAGAAGCGCCGGCUAACUACGCGCCAGCAGCCGC